UACAGAGGUCUCAAGCGUUGUUCGGAUUCAUUGGGCGUAAAGGGCGCGUAGGCGGCGUGGUAAGUCCCUUGUGAAAUCUCCGAGCUUAACUCGGAACGGUCAAGUGAUACUGCUGUGCUAGAGUGCAGAAGGGGCAAUCGGAAUUCUUGGUGUAGCGGUGAAAUGCGUAGAUAUCAAGAGGAACACCUGAGGUGAAGACGGGUUGCUGGGCUGACACUGACGCUGAGGCGCGAAAGCUAGGGUAGCAAACGGG
rnacentral:rRNA from 1 species